GCCCCAGGAGGAAAGGGGGACUGUUAGCAGCGUAGGAUUGAGGAGUUGGAAGAGACCUUUAAGACAGCUGGUCAUUAUGCCAACUGGGUGUCCGCACUAAGUUCGGUAUCAGUAUGGUGACCUCCUGGGAACAGGUCAUCGGCUUGCCUAAGGAUGGGAGAACUGGCCCAGGUCAGAAAGGGAGCAGGUCAGAAUUCCUGCACCAAUCGGUAGUGGGACUGUGCCUGGGCAAUAUAGCAAGAUCUUGGUUCUUAAAAUUCAAAAU
ensembl:misc_RNA RN7SL417P RNA, 7SL, cytoplasmic 417, pseudogene